GUGUGAACUGAUGUGUCGUUAUAUAAAGUGUGUUUAUUGCAUUGAUCCCUGUGUUCACUGGUCUGAACUGUGAGAGCAGAGAACAGACGUCAUUGCAGCUGUUGUAUUUUAUGUACAUAUGUGGCUUUUCGCACCUCUGAAAAGUGAAACUUCCUCAAAAGUCACACUAUUCAUAAGCUGAAAGCAACGUCACGUUCAUCAUUUGACAGCUGGUUGUCUUCUCCUGACCAGUGUGCAGUAGGGUCUUCAUGUGUCUAUGUCCCAGCAUCCUAAAGAACAGACCUCAUGUGGCUGUCUUUCUGGCGCUGUGUGGUCUGCUGGCUGUAAUCGGCGGUCUCAGUGUCCACGAUGCUGAACUCUUCUCCAUCAAAGCCAACCUGGCGGAGCGUCUCCGGGUCAGUGGAAACAAGCUGUCCUCAGUGUCUGCAGAGAGAGACCAGCUGAAGGACAAAGUCACUGCACUGACCCAAGAGAAGGACAGACUUCAGCUCUUGUGCAAACAGAAGAAAACGUGUCCUGAGGGGUGGACGAUGUUCAGAUGUUCCUGUUAUCUUCUCUCUACACGGGAUGGUUCCUGGGAAAAUGGCAGAAAGGACUGUAGAGACCAAGGAGCAGAUCUGGUGAUCAUAGACUCACUUGAAGAACAGCGAUGGACGAAGUCUACGUUAACGUUAAAUACGUGAAGUCUCAGGUUUCCAUAAGACCUUCAACACCUGCCCCAGGUAAGAAUGAUCAGUCUGUACAUCUUCACCUGACCAGUGUGCUGACUGGUCUUCAUGUGUCCAGGUCCCAGCAGCCCGAGGAGCAGACCUCAUGUGGCUGUUGCUGUCUCUCUGGGGCUGCUCAGUGUCCUCCUGCUGGCUGGACUCGUCUGUCUCGGUGUCCUCAUGCAUGCAUCAGCUGCUGAAUUCUACUCCAUCAAAGCCAACCUGACGGAGCGUCUCCGGGUCAGUGGAGACAAGCUGUCCUCAGUGUCUGCAGAGAGAGACCAGCUGAAGGACAAAGUCACUGCACUGACCCAAGAGAAGGACGGACUUCAGCUCUUGUUAAGACAAAAGAAAACGUGUCCUGAGGGGUGGACGAUGUUCAGUCCCUCCUGUUAUCUUCUCUCUACACGGUAUGGUUCCUGGGAAAAUGGCAGAAAGGACUGUGGAGACCAAGGAGCAGAUCUGGUGAUCAUAGACUCACUUGAAGAACAGAAAUUUCUCUCAAGCUUCACCAGCCGUCGUAGUUGGAUUGGUUUGAGUGACAAAGACAUCGAGGGCACCUGGAAAUGGAUUGAUGGAACUCCACUGACUGCAGCGUACUGGUACCGUGACGCCAAAGUAGUUGAGCCUAAUAACGGGGGAGGAAAUCCCCAGUGGGGGGAGGAGGACUGCGCUGACAUACAACCUGACCAGAACCCACAAAACAGCUGGAAUGAUCUGCGUUGUGACGCUGUUUUGCGAUGGAUCUGUGAGAAAAUGGCUUGAUAAUUGAAACAUAUCAUCUGUAAAGUGUGAUUGUGUUUUGGCAAAAGGGCUUUAAUGGUGUUGAUGUAAGUUGCAUUUAGAGACAGAAGGAGACCAUGUAAGUCAGGUAUCAAGUUCUUAGAAUGAAUUUAUUUCUAUAGUUUGACUUUGAAGUUGUUUUAUUGGGAAAUGAACAUCUUUACUGUGUGUGUGUGUGUGUGUGUGUGUGUGUGUGUGUGUGUGUGUGUGUGCUGGUUACAAGAAACAAAGCUGCAUAUUGUACUAAAUAGAUAUUUGAAUAAAAAGCUUCAUCCUGAAAUACAUUUCUUAGAGCAACAAAGGCGACUUGAGCUGUUUUCAUUAAAUAUGUCACAUUCACCAACGCAGCCAGCUAGUAUGAACAUCUGCUCAUGUCCCUCAAUAACUACUAUGAUACAGUCCACUUCACACAUAGCAUGAGACAGCAGGUGCACUUCUUGUCAUGUAAAUGUCUUCAGGACUUGUCCUUUCUAGGGACGCUCUCAGUCCGUUCCUGUUGGGUGUGAGAGAAGGUCGCCAUCAAGUGUUGGAUUUGAACACUUGCAUGCAGGUGUCUUUUUACACUCAGCAGUGCGCUCUGAACCAAGUGUUGAUUGUGGGUCACCAACAGACUCACAACCUGUGGCUGUGUCUCCUUUGGUGGGCUGCGUCCUCAUGAGGACUCAGCCUUUGCAGUCGACCUGCGCCGUGUCCUCCAACGACCGCAUAGGCUGAACCGAGCGUCUCUGAAAGGAGACGUCUGGUCCACGGGGAGACUUCCUGUGUACGUCCUCAGCUUAUAAAAUGCUGAUAGAGAAGCUAAACUUCUUAUUCCAUCUAAAUAGGAAGAUAUGCUUCACCUCUGGAGCAUGAAAUAUUAUUUCAGGAUGAGACGUGUGGAGUUCUGAACCUCUGAUCAAGGAUCACUUCUGUUACCCUCGAACCUUCUGAGACGACAAGUUAUAAAGAGUCAGCAGUUUAAAAAUUAUAAAGAAUUUAACAACUAAUAGAAGUAAUAAGAAAUAAAGUUACAAAGUGAAAUAAAGUA